UACCCAGCGGCGCAAUUGGUUAGCGCGAGGUACUUACAAAAGGCAGUAUCUGCUAGUUAUGCCGAGGCUGUGAGUUCGAGCCUCUCCUGGGGAA